rnacentral:sRNA from 1 species
UUUAGCCAUUCUCUGUUAUGAUCCAAACCUACACUCAAAUGCACAAUGCGUCAAAAACAUGAAUCAAGAUAUGCAUCGCUAGUGAACGCAUUUGGCUAGUGACAGGUUAUGAGACAAAGAUAGUCCCUUUUAAGUGGUUCAGAUUUUUAUAGCAGGGGACUCUCAAUGAAAAAGGACCGAGCUUUAGAAGAAUGCUAAAGGUAAGUGCCAACCUAUGCAUACAAGAAUAGCAUCCCAUCUACCCAAUGACAUAAACCGUGAAUAACAAGAAGAUGGUCCUAUCUCUAAACCCAAUGAUGAUCCUAAGUCUACCCUUUUGCACCAAAGGCAUAUUUCGAUUUUUUUCUUGGAUCAAUGUUUCCUUUUCUUUUCUUUAGCUCUUGUUCUUAAGGAGAAGCUUUUCUUAAACUCUAUGAGUCUAGUCUAAUGAAUUGGAUUUUUCUUAAACUCUUAUGGCUCUUAUCAUUUAUUUUUAUUUUUUUCUUUUCUGUUUUUGCUGCCAUCUCUUUUUUUUAGAGCAUAUCUUAACAAUUUUAUGCUUCCCAAACAUUUACUAGACCUCAAUAUGAUUUUUAGCUUCCUUCUCCUAAAGACUCUAACCCAUUUUUUCUUUCUUUUUCUUUUCACACUCAAUCCCUAUCCCCAAAUAAGUUCCCACCUAGUCCUACUAAGUCCAAAUAUACGGAUUGGAACUACAUGAGAUACUACUCUUGUCGGCUCAAACCUAACACGUUCUACCAAGCUCAAUCCUGAAAAUAGGCCUCACAUGCUCUCAUAAAAUAACAUGGCUUGAAAGAAGGAUUGGUUAAGGGUGAACUACUCCAAUAAUAGAAGCAGCUACUUGGAUUAACAAGAGUGGUGAAUAAGUGAAAGAAAAUCCAAAUAUGUAUUCUAUCCACGAGUUCAAAAACGAUGCAAACAUGAUAAUUAUAAGUCAGAUUCAAGUUCAAAUUGACAGGGAAAAGGUGUCAUGACAUGCAUCGAGUGGUGUCUAUAGAACAUGGUGCGGUUUUACUUCAAAGUCAUUCAAAUGCCUUAGAGAACUAAUAACUCAUUUUAGUGAAUCAUCAUGCUUC